AGGACAAGAAGAAAAAGAAAAAGGAGAAGAAAAAAAAGAAGAAAUCCUCCUCAUCUUCGGACGGCUCCAGCUCCAGCUCCUCUAGCUCGUAGUUAUUCCUUAGUCUUA
rnacentral:ribozyme from 1 species